GUAGGAACGGCCCUAGCUUUUGCACCAGCGUUGCCCGGCCGGCAAGCUAACGCCACAGCAGUCCUCCAUCCCGAAAGGUUCUAUUACUGACCCCCACUUCACUGGCGAAGAAACCGAGGCACAGAGAACCUAAGGAACCUCUCCCAUCCCACAGAUUAAAAGGUGCACACUACUGAAAGGAUGUAAAGCUUACUCCCUCCACUGAAGUCAUGAACCACUCGAAGUCAUCCAUACGGGAUUGAAUCUUCUUCCAAGUUCCUGUUAAUGUUGAUAUUUGACCUCUUCCCAUGAAUCAUGAAUGUUCUUAAUGGCAUCUAGAAUGAUGAGUCCCUUCCAAGGUUUUCAAUAUACUUUGCCCAUCUCCAGCACAGGAAUCACUGUCUAUGGCAACUAUAGCCUUAUGAAAUGAAUUUCUUAAAUAAUAAAACCAGAAAGUUGAAAUUACUUCCUGAUCCAUAGGCUGCAGAAUGGAUGCUGUAUUAACAGGCAUGAAAGCAACAUAAAUCUUGUUUUUCCUCUCCAUCAGAGCUCUUGCAUGACCAGUUGCACUGUCAGUGAGCAGUAAUAUUUUGAAGGAAAUCUUUUUUUCUGAGCAAUAGGUCUCAACAGCAGGCUUAAAACAUUCAGUAAAUCAUACUGUAAACAGAUGUGCUGCCAUCAAGGCUUUGUGGUUCCAUUUAUAAAGCAUAGGCAGAAUAGAUUUAGCAUAAUUUUAAGGGCCCUAGGAUAUCUGGAAUAAGUGAACAUUGGAUUCAGGGUUAAAGUCACAAGCUGCUUUAGCCCCUAACAAGAGUCAGCCUGUCCUUUGAGGCUUUGAAGUCUGGUACUGUCUUCUCUCUAGCUAUAAAAGUCUUAGAUGGCAUCUUCUUCCAAUACAAGGCUAGCUCAUUGACUUUGAGAAUCUGUUGUUUAGUAUAUCCUUAAUUAUCUUAGUGAGAUAUUCUGGGUACUUUGCUACAGUUUCUACUUCAGCGCUUGCUGCUUCAUCUGACACUUCUCUACAAUAGAGAUAUCUUUCCUUAUACUUCACGAACCAACCUCUGCUGGCUUCAGACUUUUCUUCUUCCACUUCCUCACCUCUCUCAGCCUCAACAGAAUCAAAGAGCAUCAGGAUCUCGCUCUGGCUUAGACUUUGGCUUGAGGGAAUGUUGUGGAUGGUUUGAUCUUCUAUCCAGACCAAAUAUUUUGCCCACAUCAGCAGUUAAGGUUAUUCCACUUUCUUGUUAUUUGUGUGUGCAUUGAAGCAGAACCUCUAAUUUCCUUCAAGAGCUCUUCCUGUGCACUCACAACGUGGCUGUUUGUCACAAGAGGCCCAACUUUUAGCCUCUUGCUAUUUGGACAUGCCCUCCUCACUGAGCUUAAUUAUUUCUAGCAUUCGAUUUUAAAUGAAUGAUGUGUGACUCUUCCUUUCACUUGAACACUGA